UGAUCGCCUAGACAUUUGACGCAUCGC
rnacentral:sRNA from 1 species